CCCACUUUGUUGGUGAAGAAAAAAACUCCUUGUUAACUACAAAGCUCUUCUCUCAGCAACACAUAAGGCCCCAUGUGAUGAGACAUCCUGGCUGGCAGGGCAGCCCAGCUCUACAUAACUGUUCAUGGAUCCAGGUCGCUGAUGAAUCAUUGUUCCUUUACGUCCAGGCAUUGUUAUCACGGCAUGAUUGAAGCUGGUUGCUACAAUACUCAGAUUCCAGCCAGUGAGAAGAAGAAAGUAUGGAGGAAGCAAAUCAAUAUCUCAAGAACCAGACACAUGACUUACUGUCACAUUCUACAGCAGAAACCCACUCCAUUAAAUGAAAAUCCUGGAGCAAUCAGAAGGAAAUUAAGAAAAGGUUGAGAGCAG
rnacentral:lncRNA from 1 species